AAAACAAGUAAAAAUAAAAUUAGACAAAAAAUAAAUUAUAAAAGAAAAUUUGCACAUGCUACCACCAACCCAUUUAACUAAUUAAUAUGUAAUUAUUGUAUUCUGUCCCCACAUUUCCUAUAUAAAAGUAUGUGUUCUAUUCUACACAUUCUAUAGACUUGCUCCCCAACUAAGAGCGUUAAUGGUUCUAUUUCUUCAAGAAAUUCAAAAAAUGGCUCACUUGAGGGAACUGUUAUUAUUUUUCCUAGUUUCUAUUACACUAGUAGCAGCAGCAACAAGUUUUUCCAAAGUAGAAACCGGCGAAGAAGCACGGCGAGAGGCGGACAGAGUGACCAGCUUGCCUGGACAACCGCCGGUGAGAUUUAGGCACUAUUCCGGUUAUGUUAAUCUGAGACGCAAUGAUCAGAAGGCAUUGUUCUACUGGUUUUUCGAAGCUGAAGAUGGUGUCUCACAAAAGCCUCUUGUUCUUUGGCUAAAUGGAGGACCUGGAUGCUCCUCCAUAGCCUACGGUGCAGCACAGGAACUUGGCCCUUUUCUUGUUCGCAGAGAUGGGAGUCAGCUUAUCCUUAACAAGUACUCUUGGAACAAAGUUGCAAAUAUGUUAUUUCUGGAAGCACCAGUGGGUGUGGGCUUUUCGUACACAAACAAUUCCAAAGAUUUGCAUGAGCUUGGUGAUCGAGUUACAGCAGAUGAUUCUCAUGCCUUCUUAAUAAAUUGGUUUAAAAGGUUCCCAAGUUUCAAAUCUCAUAAUUUUUAUAUAGCAGGGGAGAGCUAUGCUGGUCAUUAUGUA
rnacentral:misc_RNA from 1 species